GACGAACUUUGGCGGCGUGCUUAACACAUGCAAGUCGAACGGAAAGGCCCUGCUUUUGUGGGGUGCUCGAGUGGCGAACGGGUGAGUAACACGUGAGUAACCUGCCCUUGACUUUGGGAUAACUUCAGGAAACUGGGGCUAAUACCGGAUAGGAGCUCCUGCUGCAUGGUGGGGGUUGGAAAGUUUCGGCGGUUGGGGAUGGACUCGCGGCUUAUCAGCUUGUUGGUGGGGUAGUGGCUUACCAAGGCUUUGACGGGUAGCCGGCCUGAGAGGGUGACCGGCCACAUUGGGACUGAGAUACGGCCCAGACUCCUACGGGAGGCAGCAGUGGGGAAUAUUGCACAAUGGGCGGAAGCCUGAUGCAGCAACGCCGCGUGCGGGAUGACGGCCUUCGGGUCGUAAACCGCUUUCGCCUGUGACGAAGCGUGAGUGACGGUAAUGGGUAAAGAAGCACCGGCUAACUACGUGCCAGCAGCCGCGGUGAUACGUAGGGUGCGAGCGUUGUCCGGAUUUAUUGGGCGUAAAGGGCUCGUAGGUGGUUGAUCGCGUCGGAAGUGUAAUCUUGGGGCUUAACCCUGAGCGUGCUUUCGAUACGGGUUGACUUGAGGAAGGUAGGGGAGAAUGGAAUUCCUGGUGGAGCGGUGGAAUGCGCAGAUAUCAGGAGGAACACCAGUGGCGAAGGCGGUUCUCUGGGCCUUUCCUGACGCUGAGGAGCGAAAGCGUGGGGAGCGAACAGGCUUAGAUACCCUGGUAGUCCACGCUGUAAACGGUGGGUACUAGGUGUGGGGUCCAUUCCACGGGUUCCGUGCCGUAGCUAACGCUUUAAGUACCCCGCCUGGGGAGUACGGCCGCAAGGCUAAAACUCAAAGGAAUUGACGGGGCCCCGCACAAGCGGCGGAGCAUGCGGAUUAAUUCGAUGCAACGCGUAGAACCUUACCUGGGUUUGACAUGGAUCGGGAGUGCUCAGAGAUGGGUGUGCCUCUUUUGGGGUCGGUUCACAGGUGGUGCAUGGCUGUCGUCAGCUCGUGUCGUGAGAUGUUGGGUUAAGUCCCGCAACGAGCGCAACCCUUGUUCACUGUUGCCAGCACGUUAUGGUGGGGACUCAGUGGAGACCGCCGGGGUCAACUCGGAGGAAGGUGGGGAUGACGUCAAGUCAUCAUGCCCCUUAUGUCCAGGGCCUCACGCAUGCUACAAUGGCUGGUACAGAGAGUGGCGAGCCUGUGAGGGUGAGCGAAUCUCGGAAAGCCGGUCUCAGUUCGGAUUGGGGUCUGCAACUCGACCUCAUGAAGUCGGAGUCGCUAGUAAUCGCAGAUCAGCAACGCUGCGGUGAAUACGUUCCCGGGGCU
rnacentral:rRNA from 1 species